GGGCUCGCAGGCGGUUUCUUAAGUCUGAUGUGAAAGCCCCCGGCUCAACCGGGGAGGGUCAUUGGAAACUGGGAAACUUGAGUGCAGAAGAGGAGAGUGGAAUUCCACGUGUAGCGGUGAAAUGCGUAGAGAUGUGGAGGAACACCAGUGGCGAAGGCGACUCUCUGGUCUGUAACUGACGCUGAGGAGCGAAAGCGUGGGGAGCGAACAGGAUUAGAUACCCUGGUAGUCCACGCCGUAAACGAUGAGUGCUAAGUGUUAGGGGGUUUCCGCCCCUUAGUGCUGCAGCUAACGCAUUAAGCACUCCGCCUGGGGAGUACGGUCGCAAGACUGAAACUCAAAGGAAUUGACGGGGGCCCGCACAAGCGGUGGAGCAUGUGGUUUAAUUCGAAGCAACGCGAAGAACCUUACCAGGUCUUGACAUCCUCUGACAACCCUAGAGAUAGGGCUUUCCCUUCGGGGACAGAGUGACAGGUGGUGCAUGGUUGUCGUCAGCUCGUGUCGUGAGAUGUUGGGUUAAGUCCCGCAACGAGCGCAACCCUUGAUCUUAGUUGCCAGCAUUCAGUUGGGCACUCUAAGGUGACUGCCGGUGACAAACCGGAGGAAGGUGGGGAUGACGUCAAAUCAUCAUGCCCCUUAUGACCUGGGCUACACACGUGCUACAAUGGACAGAACAAAGGGCUGCAAG
rnacentral:rRNA from 1 species